rnacentral:rRNA from 1 species
GGUAGCAAUACCUUGAUGGCGACCGGCGCACGGGUGAGUAACGCGUAUGCAACCUGCCUGAUACCGGGGUAUAGCCCAUGGAAACGUGGAUUAACACCCCAUAGUACUUUUAUCCUGCCUGGGAUGGGAGUUAAAUGUUCAAGGUAUCGGAUGGGCAUGCGUCCUAUUAGUUAGUUGGCGGGGUAACAGCCCACCAAGACGAUGAUAGGUAGGGGUUCUGAGAGGAAGGUCCCCCACAUUGGAACUGAGACACGGUCCAAACUCCUACGGGAGGCAGCAGUGAGGAAUAUUGGUCAAUGGACGAGAGUCUGAACCAGCCAAGUCGCGUGAGGGAAGACUGCCCUAUGGGUUGUAAACCUCUUUUAUAAGGGAAGAAUAAGUUCUACGUGUAGAAUGAUGCCUGUACCUUAUGAAUAAGCAUCGGCUAACUCCGUGCCAGCAGCCGCGGUAAUACGGAGGAUGCGAGCGUUAUCCGGAUUUAUUGGGUUUAAAGGGUGCGUAGGCGGUUUAUUAAGUUAGUGGUUAAAUAUUUGAGCUAAACUCAAUUGUGCCAUUAAUACUGGUAAACUGGAGUACAGACGAGGUAGGCGGAAUAAGUUAAGUAGCGGUGAAAUGCAUAGAUAUAACUUAGAACUCCGAUAGCGAAGGCAGCUUACCAGACUGUAACUGACGCUGAUGCACGAGAGCGUGGGUAGCGAACAGGAUUAGAUACCCUGGUAGUCCACGCCGUAAACGAUGCUCACUGGUUCUGUGCGAUAUAUUGUACGGGAUUAAGCGAAAGUAUUAAGUGAGCCACCUGGGGAGUA